GAAACGCUGCUUCGACUUUUACUAAGCAGCGCUCCCAAACUGCUACAUAUUUUGAGGCCCAGAAGGGCAU
rnacentral:snRNA from 1 species